GAUGAAGAACGCAGCGAAAUGCGAUACGUAAUGUGAAUUGCAGAAUUCAGUGAAUCAUCGGGUCUUUGAACGCACAUUGCGCCCCCUGGUAUUCCGGGGGGCAUGCCUGUCCGAGCGUCAUUGCUGCCCUCAAGCACGGCUUGUGUGUUGGGCCUCCGUCCUCCUCCCGGGGGACGGGCCCGAAAGGCAGCGGCGGCACCGCGUCCGGUCCUCGAGCGUAUGGGGCUUCGUCACCCGCUCUUGUAGGCCCGGCCGGCGCUUGCCGACACAUCAAUCUUUUUUCCGUUGACCUCGGAUCAGGUAGGGAUACCCGCUGAACUUAAGCAUAUCAAUAAGCGGAGGA
rnacentral:misc_RNA from 1 species